rnacentral:snRNA from 1 species
GUGCUCGCUUCGGCAGCACAUAUAUUAAAAUAGGAAUGAUACAGAGAAGAUUAGCAUGGCCCCUGCACAAGGAUGACACGCAAAUUCGUGAAGCGUUCCAUAUUUUU